rnacentral:lncRNA from 1 species
ACCCAGAAUAAAAGAACACUGAUGACCAGCACCCAGCCUGGUAUCCAGCUUACCGUGGCCAAGCUCAUCAGCUGAGAGGAGGUUCUCACUCAACAAAAGACAUGUAUGAGAUGUGACUUGUGACAUUGCCUCAAGACCACAAACCCCUCUCCUUGAUCCCACUGGCCCUAUGAUGCCCCCCUUUCCUGGCAGAAGGAGCAAUCUUCUAGGGAGCCCACUGCCUGUCCAAUUUCUUCCAGCAGCACAACUUGCAGACAGCAAAGCAAAUGUGCUACAGCCCAAGUCCAUCGUGGUAAACCAAAGCAACAACCUGCACAGCAGGAGGGUACACUGUGGUGCUCCAGGAAAGAAGCAACCAGAGAAACAGAGAGGAUUCUUCUUUCAGCAACAGAAGAAAGCUUUCUUGGCCGAGGUCAAACUUUCACUGCUUGUAUCUUGGGCCACUUGGAGCAUCAGAUGCCAAUCUCAUCUAUAGGAUCCUCCCACCUAAUCAACUUGUGGUAGGUUUCAAAUGGAGUCUGUCUUAAAGUCUUUUCACUUUUUUAAGUGAAAUUAAGUUUUAAUAUAUAUUUUCUCUCAGAUUUCACUUGAUGUGAAAAUGCUUGAGAAAUGUGUUUAUAUAUUCACAGCACAUGUGGAAAGAGAACCAAAACAGGGCAAAAAUGCAUAGCUGAGGCAGAAUGUGUGAGGAACUUCUUGAUGCUGGGCUGAAGAUCAGACAAGCUUAUAAAAAGGGCAGGGAAUGCUCAUUAUGGACUGAGUCAGCCCAGCAGCUGUGAGGCUCCUCCCUCCCCACUUCAAUGAUUUUAUUGUUCACCCAAGACACUGGCAGGCAGUCAGGAGAAAUCCCCUUGGCCCUGCAUCUGCCCCUCUGCUGGAUGCAAUCAGGCCCCAGCAACUUGGUGCUUUAGUUGUCUUUGUGAGGUCUUGCUUGAUGUGACCUCUUCUGAUGGGAUGCAGAGGCAAGGGAAACCAGGGGUGAUGUGCAGACCUGACCCAUGCACCAUCCUGGAAGUCACAGCUGAGCUUAAACUAAAUAAACAACAAAUGCUCACAGAGCA